rnacentral:rRNA from 1 species
UGGGGAAUCUUCCGCAAUGGGCGAAAGCCUGACGGAGCGACGCCGCGUGGGGGACGAAGGCCUUCGGGUCGUAAACCCCUGUCAGAGGGAAAGAAGGGUACCGGCGUGAACAGCGCCGGUAUUUGACGGUACCCUCAGAGGAAGCCACGGCCAACUCCGUGCCAGCAGCCGCGGUAAUACGGAGGUGGCAAGCGUUGCUCGGAAUCACUGGGCGUAAAGGGCGCGUAGGCGGGGAGGUAAGUCGGGUGUGAAAUCCCUCGGCCCAACCGAGGAACUGCGCCCGAGACUGCUUCUCUUGAGUCCCGGAGAGGAAGGUGGAAUUCCCGGUGUAGCGGUGAAAUGUGUAGAGAUCGGGAGGAACACCGGUGGCGAAGGCGGCCUUCUGGACGGUGACUGACGCUGAGGCGCGAAGCGUGGGGAGCAAACGGGAUAGAUACCCGGUAGUCCACGCUGUAAACGAUGGGUGCGUAGGUGUGGGGGGUAGUCGACCCCGUCCCGUCGCCGAAGCUAACGC